AAAAAUAUAAAGACUAUAGUGUAAAUUAUAAAUAAUUUUAAAAUUUUGUUUUGGAAAAAUACACUUUGAAACUUCAUAUACAGUAUAUAUAACCUCUAUAAAUUAAUACUCUAUAAAUUAAUAUAAACUAAAAAUCUCUAUAAAAUAAUAUAAUUUUAUAGUUCCAAAUUUAUUUUUUUGUUCAAUUAGUAUAUCGAUAAAUUAAUAUCUCUAUAAUUUAAUAAAAAAAUUAUAGUUUUGGUGUAGUCCCAACAUUAUUAAUUUAUAGAUAUUUUACUGAAAUUAAGAAUUUUUUUUUUGGAGAUGGUCAUAAUUCAAUGUUUCUUCAACGAUUUUAAAGGAAAAAAAAAAACUACUUCCGACCAGAUACACUUCCAAUGUUCAACAUGAUACAAUCUGUAUUAUUAGAAUGCGUCGAACGAAACUCAUUCCUCGUCGUAAUUCAAAGUACAUCAAGCUAGUAUAUUUGGAAAUGCUCAAGGCUUGUAUGAAUCCGAAAGGGAGGGGUCCGAAAGUGAGGUAUAUAUUUUGUAUCAUUGUUACUGUUAGUGAGAAAUGAUGA
rnacentral:lncRNA from 1 species